rnacentral:rRNA from 1 species
UACGAAGGGGGCUAGCGUUGCUCGGAAUCACUGGGCGUAAAGGGCGCGUAGGCGGCCGAUUAAGUCGGGGGUGAAAGCCUGUGGCUCAACCACAGAAUUGCCUCGAUACUGGUUGGCUUGAGACCGGAAGAGGACAGCGGAACUGCGAGUGUAGAGGUGAAAUUCGUAGAUAUUCGCAAGAACACCAGUGGCGAAGGCGGCUGUCUGGUCCGGUUCUGACGCUGAGG